CGUGUAGGCGGUAUCAUAAGUCAGGUGUGAAAUCCCCGCGCUUAACGUGGGCAUUGCAUUUGAAACUAUGUAGCUAGAGUUCUGUAGAGGGGGGUAGAAUUCCAGGUGUAGCGGUGAAAUGCAUAGAUAUUAUCCAGAACACCGAUUGCGAAGGCAGGUUACUAAGUCAUAACUGACGCUGAGGCACGAAAGUGUGGGGAUCAAACAGGAUUAGAUACCCCUGUA
rnacentral:rRNA from 1 species